UGCCAGCCGCCGCGGUAAUACGAACCGUACGAACGUUAUUCGGAAUCACUGGGCUUAAAGAGUGCGUAGGCGGCUUGGCAGGUUGGGUGUGAAAGCCCUCGGCUCAACCGAGGAAUUGCGCCCAAAACCGCUAGGCUUGAGGGAGAUAGAGGUGAGCGGAACUAAUGGUGGAGCGGUGAAAUGCGUUGAUAUCAUUAGGAACACCGGUGGCGAAAGCGGCUCACUGGGUCUCUUCUGACGCUGAGGCACGAAAGCUAGGGGAGCGAACGGGAUUAGAUA
rnacentral:rRNA from 1 species